rnacentral:SRP_RNA from 1 species
GCCGGGCGCGGUGGCCCACGCCUGUAAUCCCAGUACUUUGGGAGGCCGAGACGGGCGGAUCACCUGAGGUCGGGAGUUCGAGACCAGCCUGACCAACAUGGAGAAACCCCGUCUUUA